rnacentral:rRNA from 1 species
AUUGAACGCUGGCGGAAUGCUUUACACAUGCAAGUCGAACGGCAGCACGGACUUCGGUCUGGUGGCGAGUGGCGAACGGGUGAGUAAUGUAUCGGAACGUGCCCAGUCGUGGGGGAUAACGUAGUGAAAAUUACGCUAAUACCGCAUACGAUCUAUGGAUGAAAGCGGGGGAUCGCAAGACCUCGCGCGAUUGGAGCGGCCGAUAUCAGAUUAGGUAGUUGGUGGGGUAAAGGCCCACCAAGCCAACGAUCUGUAGCUGGUCUGAGAGGACGAGCAGCCACACUGGAACUGAGACACGGUCCAUACUCCUACGGGAGGCAGCAGUGGGGAAUUUUGGACAAUGGGCGAAAGCCUGAUCCAGCCAAUCCGCGUGCAGGAUGAAGGCCCUCGGGUUGUAAACUGCUUUUGUACAGAACGAAAAGGUUUCUACUAAUACUAGGAGCUCAUGACGGUACUGUAAGAAUAAGCACCGGCUAACUACGUGCCAGCAGCCGCAGUAA